GACAGAGGUGCCAAGCGUUAGGCGGAAUCACUGGGCUUAAAGCGUGUGUAGGUGGAAGCGUAAGUACCUUGUGAAAUCCCACGGCUUAACCGUGGAACUGCUUGGUAUACUGCGUUUCUUGAGCCAUCUAGGGGCUGUCGGAACAAAUGGUGGAGCGGUGAAAUGCGUAGAUAUCAUUUGGAACGCCAAAGGUGAAAACAGACAGCUGGGGAUGUGCUGACGCUGAGACACGAAAGCCAGGGGAGCGAACGGG
rnacentral:rRNA from 1 species